rnacentral:tRNA from 1 species
GCGGGUGUGGCGGAAUUGGUAGACGCACCAGAUUUAGGUUCUGGCGCCGAGAGGCGUGGAGGUUCAAGUCCUCUCACCCGCA